rnacentral:rRNA from 1 species
UACGAGGGGUGCAAGCGUUGCUCGGAAUUAUUGGGCGUAAAGGGUAGGUAGGUGGUCUCAUUUGUCUGGGGUGAAAGCCUUGAGCUUAACUCAAGAAGUGCCCCAGAAACGGUGAGACUGGAGUCCUGGAGAGGGUCGUGGAAUUCCCGGUGUAGCGGUGAAAUGCGUAGAUAUCUGGAGGAACACCGGUGGCGAAGGCGGCAUCCUGGACCGGUAUUGACGCUGAGGCGCGAAAGCCAGGGGAGCAAACGGG